rnacentral:rRNA from 1 species
UACAGGGGGUGCAAACGUUGCUCGGAAUCAUUGGGCGUAAAGCGCACGUAGGCGGUUCGUUAUGUCGGAUGUGAAAGCCCUUGGCUUAACCGAGGAAGUGCAUCCGAAACUGGCGAGCUAGAGUACUAAAGAGGAUCGCGGAAUUCCCGGUGUAGAGGUGAAAUUCGUAGAUAUCGGGAGGAACACCGGUGGCGAAGGCGGCGAUCUGGGUAGAUACUGACGCUGAGGUGCGAAAGCGUGGGGAGCGAACCGG